rnacentral:rRNA from 1 species
UACGUAGGGUGCAAGCGUUGUCCGGAAUUAUUGGGCGUAAAGAGCUCGUAGGCGGCCACUUAAGUCUGAUGUGAAAGCCCUGGGCUCAACUCAGGAAGUGCAUUGGAUACUGGGUGGCUGGAGUACCGGAGAGGAGGGUGGAAUUCCUGGUGUAGCGGUGAAAUGCGUAGAUAUCAGGAGGAACACCGGUGGCGAAGGCGUCCCUCUGGCCGGAUACUGACGCUGAGACGCGAAAGCGUGGGGAGCAAACAGG